CCUACGGGGGGCUGCAGUGGGGAAUAUUGGACAAUGGGGGGAACCCUGAUCCAGCCAUGCCGCGUGUGUGAAGAAGGCCCUCGGGUUGUAAAGCACUUUCAGUGAGGAAGAACGCCUGGUGGUUAAUACCCAUCAGGAAAGACAUCACUCACAGAAGAAGCACCGGCUAACUCCGUGCCAGCAGCCGCGGUAAUACGGAGGGUGCGAGCGUUAAUCGGAAUUACUGGGCGUAAAGCGCGCGUAGGUGGCUUGAUAAGCCGGUUGUGAAAGCCCCGGGCUCAACCUGGGAACGGCAUCCGGAACUGUCAAGCUAGAGUGCAGGAGAGGAAGGUAGAAUUCCCGGUGUAGCGGUGAAAUGCGUAGAGAUCGGGAGGAAUACCAGUGGCGAAGGCGGCCUUCUGGACUGACACUGACACUGAGGUGCGAAAGCGUGGGUAGCAAACAGGAUUAGAUACCCCAGUAGCC
rnacentral:rRNA from 1 species